GUAGGUGAACCUGCGGAAGGAUCAUUAACACUUUUUCAAAAAAAAAAGGUGGUGGUCGAAAGAUCCCCAUCUUUUUUUUUUUAAAACUCCAAAACUAAACAACGUGAACAAAAAAGAACGUGAAAAUGUUCUUUUUUCUCCUCCCCUAUUUUUUUUAAAACCACAAAAAAACCUCAAUUCAAAAAACCAUUUGAACUGAAAACAACCAAAACGAAAAAAAAGCAUUGAUUUGCCUUUUUUUCAUUUUACG
rnacentral:misc_RNA from 1 species